GCUAAUAUUUCUAUUGCAAGGGGAAAUGAAAUGGAGUUGAUAAUCCUAGGCUUAUGAAGAAACACGAUCAUCACGUGUGUAAUGGGGGAAAUUUUAUCCAGACGGUGUUUUUUCCGCUUAUCUUCUUGCCAAUGGUUAGGUACGCGCCAAUGUGUACACGAGUCUUCGGUUGCUCGCCCAUCCUAACGACAAGAUGCUGUGCAGCUGAAAAGAGAAGAAGGAAAAGUAAACGCAGAAGACAGUGCAAGUGUACCGUAAGACAGAUAACAUUUUACUUGCCAAUGACAUAAUUAUACCGUUAACUGCGAUGACGGGAAUUUGGGUCCAUUCGAUUUUAAGAGAAAGCCACGAGUGAACGGAGAGAAAGCACAAGAGCGAUACGAUAAAAGUCAACAAAGAUCAAACCCCAAUCGCAAAAAAGAACCAAGGAAAAAUAAACGGGGUAAAACAGAGAGAGUAAAAGGGACAUCUGACGAUAUGCCGAAAGGAACGACACAACAAUUGGAAGGAAAAAGUUAUGUUCAUGUACCACUUGAAGUUUACAAAAAGAUGAUAGAAUCUGAGAUUGACAGUAAAUUGAAACAGAUACAAGAUUACUAUGAUCUACAGUAUAGACGACAAGAAGAAUUACAGCUGGAAUCUAUGAGAGAAUCUAUUUACUGGAAAGAUUGUGUUAAUCGAUUAGAAAUGAACUUGUCUAUAUCUUAUUCUGAGUUUGACAAACUCUCUCGUGCUUAUGAAAAUAUAAAACAGAGGAUAAACAGAACUGAAUUAAAAGAAAAGAAAAACACAACACCCCAUAAAGGUAGACGAUCUAACGACAAGAAGCAAGUAAAACAGAUUGUACGUGAUAUGUCAGGUGGUGAUAAUAACAAUCUGGAUACAACUCUAUAGGCCUAAUACAGACCUAUACUUUUAAAUAAA